rnacentral:rRNA from 1 species
GAUGAACGCUGGCGGCGUGCCUAAUACAUGCAAGUCGAGCGAACAGACGAGGAGCUUGCUCCUCUGACGUUAGCGGCGGACGGGUGAGUAACACGUGGAUAACCUACCUAUAAGACUGGGAUAACUUCGGGAAACCGGAGCUAAUACCGGAUAAUAUAUUGAACCGCAUGGUUCAAUAGUGAAAGACGGUUUUGCUGUCACUUAUAGAUGGAUCCGCGCCGCAUUAGCUAGUUGGUAAGGUAACGGCUUACCAAGGCGACGAUGCGUAGCCGACCUGAGAGGGUGAUCGGCCACACUGGAACUGAGACACGGUCCAGACUCCUACGGGAGGCAGCAGUAGGGAAUCUUCCGCAAGGGGCGAAAGCCUGACGGAGCAACGCCGCGUGAGUGAUGAAGGUCUUCGGAUCGUAAAACUCUGUUAUUAGGGAAGAACAAAUGUGUAAGUAACUAUGCACGUCUUGACGGUACCGAAUCAGAAAGCCACGGCUAACUACGU